UACAGAGGUGGCAAGCGUUGUUCGGAAUUACUGGGCGUAAAGGGCGCGUAGGCGGUUCGACAAGUCCCGCGUGAAAGCCCCCGGCUCAACUGGGGAACGGCGCGGGAAACUGUCGGGCUUGAGUUCGGGAGAGGGAAGCGGAAUUCCGGGUGUAGCGGUGAAAUGCGUAGAUAUCGUGAGGAACACCAGAGGCGAAGGCGGCUACCUGGACAAUUGCUGACGCUCAGGCACGAAAGCGUGGGGAGCAAAAGGG
rnacentral:rRNA from 1 species